ensembl:processed_transcript
UCAUGAAGAACUGUUCUGUGAGAAGCCUUCACUGAACUACUGACUAGUGACUUGUGCUCAAGGACCCUUCCGGAUCUCAUAUGCCCUGCUGCUGCUGUGCCUGUCUAGUUCUGCAUUCUCAGCUGGACCCCUCUCCAUGAGUAGCCUUGCACAACUACUCAUGCUGACAUGAUCUGUGGCUGGAGCACUGUCUCUUUCAAGAGCUGGUCCUUGUACCGCUAUGCAGAUGGCCGCUUACUCAUCCUGGAAAUAAUUGGAGACAAUUUCAAUGAGACACAAAGUCUACCGCCAGUCCCAGAGGCUCUGCAUGGCUUUAGAAGACAAGUUUCUAUAACAUGGUUUUGUAACAAUGGUACAAUAUGUUUUUCUAAAAUUGAGUUUUUUCACCAAUUCCUCAAAACAAUACAUUAAAAUGUGCUUACUCGU